rnacentral:lncRNA from 1 species
UUUUGGAAUGAUCAAAAGACAGCAUGGCCAGGGGAGACAUUGUCUGUCCAGUACCUCCUGGGUAGCACAUAGCGCUUAUGAAUAGAAAGUCAUUCCCAGAAGAGCAGCAUCCCACAUGUCCUCUUCAGAUUGGCAUCCUGCCUGACUCCAUGUGGCAUGCCCCAGGAGGGGCUGCUCAGCAUCUGGGCAGAUUUCACUCUGGCUUGGGCACAAUUACAGUAGAG